rnacentral:lncRNA from 1 species
GUGGUAUUAGGGUUUCAAGAGGGUGAGAGGAAGCUGCAGGCAUUCUGGAGACCUUGCUUGAAAGUAGUGCAGCAUUAUUUUUGAUGCACUGUAUUGGUUAAAGGAAAUCAGGUAGACUGGCCAUAUGUGGGAAGUAGGGAAAUAGGCUCUGCCUUUUUUGAUGAAGAAUUUGUGACUAUUUUUUAUUGUCUACAAACCCUUAUAUAGUAAGUGCUCAAUAAAUGGUUGUUGAAUUGCAUGAAUGAAUGGAGAAAGUGGGUUGGAGUCCUGAAAAAGAAGAAGAUAUUGGCAAAGCUGCUAUUGAAAAUGGAAAAAGGAACCAAUCAUGGGCAGAGUCUCACUCUGUCACCCAGGCUGGAGUGCAGUGGUACAAUCAUAGCUUACAGCAGCUUUGAAUUCCUGGGCUCCAGUGAUCUACCCUCCUCAACCUCCUGAGCAACUGGAACUUGAGGUUCGUGCUGCCACACCCAGCUAAUUAAAAAAAAAAAGUUUUUUCAUAGAGAGAGGGUCUCACUAUGUUAUCCAGGCUUGUCUUAAACUGCUGGCCUCAAACAGUCCUCCCACUUUGGCUUCCCAAAGUGCUGGGAUUACAAGUAAUUUUUAAUUGUGAAAAUCCAAAAAAUUUCUUAGGGUCACAAAAAGAAAAGUCAGAUUUAUUGAAAUCCUGUGUUAAGUUAGAGUUUACUAUUUCUCUUAAAAAUUGACAUUUCCCCUCCCCAUUCACCUCUUCUCAUGCCCUUAUACAUCCUUCCUUGAAAUUUCCAGGAAGCACUGAAAGUUUUUCAGCAGUCUGCAACCAGUAAUCCUGUUUCUAUUUAUAGGAUUUUAAAUCUUGCCUUCAAAGGUACUCA